rnacentral:lncRNA from 1 species
AGUUCUGUGCAGGCAUGCUUGUUUGCCCCUCAGUGCAGUACCUCCCUGUCUUCUUCAGCCUAGAGUGCCCCUUGAACUUUCAUUGUACAUGACCAUGGCUGUCUGGAAGAAUGCAGGGAGGUAUCUGAUAGCACAGUUUCCAGCUUGGCUUUAAGCGAUGAUGUUUUUUUAUGUUGGAAUCCAGGUUCUAUAUUUUGGCAAGGAUGGGCCAGAGGUGAUGUGCUUAAUUAAGUACAUUGUAGCAGGAGGAACAGUUACCAACCUCUGCCAGGACUGGUGAUUCUACAUCGAGCUCUUGCUGGAGAAGGAGCCUGCAAGCCCUGCUCUCUCUCUUGGUGGGAGAGAGAUAUUUUGGAUACUGUCCAGUGCAGAGACAGCACCACGGCUGAGGAUGGCCGGACCAUUACAAAAGGAACCCACAGAGAAGUAGAGGCACCAGCCAAAAGCAAUGUUAACCACAAUCACUGUGAUUGCUAUUUUUGGUUGUCAACUUGACUACAUCUGGAAUCAACUAAAACCCAAUGGCUUGGCACAACUGUGAGGGACUUUUUUUUCUUAAGUAAAUCCUUUGAGCUCUGGAUCUUUGAGGUGGGAAGAUACACCUUUAAUGGAGGUCACACUUUCUGCUGGCAGCCUACAAAAAGGAGAUGAAGAAGGAAAUUUUGCUGUUGUUGUUAGCAAAUCCAUUCCUUCACUGGCACUGAAGCCGGCUUCUUCAGGAUUCUGGUAUGUAAUGCUGAAGACCAGCUGAGACAUUCAACCUUUGUGAACUGAACUGAAUUCUUCCAUUGGUAGACAGCCAUUGUUUGUCUAGCUGGACAACAUCCUAUAUGCCAGUUUAAUAAAUCUUAAUAUGUGAGUGCA